rnacentral:rRNA from 1 species
UACAGAGGGUGCGAGCGUUAAUCGGAAUUACUGGGCGUAAAGCGUGCGUAGACGGCUAUCUAAGUCGGGUGUGAAAGCCCCGGGCUCAACCUGGGAAUUGCAUUCGAGACUGAAUAGCUAGGGUGCGGUAGAGGGAAGCGGAAUUUCCGGUGCAGCGGUGAAAUGCGUAGAUAUCGGAAGGAACAUCAGUGGCGAAAGCGGCUUCCUGGACCAGCACCGACGUUCAGGCACGAAAGCGUGGGGAGCAAACAGG